UGAGUCGGCCCACGGGAGCCGCGGCGCAGCGAACCGGCCGGUUUCACCGGUCAGGCGCACACGUCGAGGAAAGUCCGGACUCCGCAGAGCACGGUGGUUGCUAACGGCAACCCGGGGUGACCCGAGGGCACAGUGCAACAGAGAGCAGACCGCCGCGUCGGUUCGCCGGCGCGGUAAGGGUGAAAGGGUGCGGUAAGAGCGCACCGGCGGGUCAGGUGACUGGCCCGGCCAGGUAAACCCCACCGGGAGCAAGGCACCGAGGUCCCACCUUCGGGUGGGCCGGGAGCGGACGUUCGAGGGCUGCUCGCCCGAGUCCGCAGGUAGCUGCUUGAGGCGGCCGGCGACGGUCGACCCAGAUGGAUGGUUCCCGCGGCCCCCGCCGUCAGGCGGGGGACGACAGAAUCCGGCUUACCGGCCGGCUCAUUCG
rnacentral:RNase_P_RNA from 2 species